UGUGUUGGUGGUUAUUGUGUCGGGGGUACGCCCGGUCCCUUUCCGAACCCGGAAGCUAAGCCCGAUUGCGCUGAUGGUGACUGCACCUUGGAGGGUGUGGGAGAGUAGGUCGCCGACCAACC
rnacentral:rRNA from 1 species